CAGCCGCCGCGGUAAUACCGGUGGCCCGAGUGGUAGCCGCUUUUAUUUGGUCUAAAGGGUCCGUAGCCGGUUCGGGCAGUCUAUUGGUAAAUUCGAAUGCCCAACAUUCGAUCUUUCAGUGGAUACUUCCGGACUAGGAACCGGGAGAGGUAAGAGGUACUGUAGGGGUAGGAGUGAAAUCUUGUAAUCCCUAUGAGACCACCUGUGGCGAAGGCGUCUUACCGGAACGGGUUCGACGGUGAGGGACGAAAGCCGGGGGCACGAACCGGAUUAGAUACCCGGGUAGUCCCGGCCGUAAACAAUGCUCGCUAGGUGUCGGGUAUGGCGUGACCGUAUCCGGUGCCGUAGGGAAGCCGUGAAGCGAGCCACCUGGGAAGUACGGCCGCAAGGCUGAAACUUAAAGGAAUUGGCGGGGGAGCACAACAACGGGUGGAGCCUGCGGUUUAAUUGGACUCAACGCCGGAAAACUCACCAGGGGAGACAGCAAUAUGUAGGUCAAGCUGAAGACUUUACCUGAAUCGCUGAGAGGUGGUGCAUGGCC
rnacentral:rRNA from 1 species